ensembl:lncRNA
GUGAUUAUCACUUCCUGCCCAAGGUCAAGAAAUAUUCACUGAUGACCUACUCUCUGCUAGGCCAAGGGCUGGGCGCUCAAGGCACGGAGUUAAAUAAGGAGACGUCCACAAAGAGCUCCUUUCCAGAGAACACGGUAAGGGUUCCGAGUAAGGGGUGCGGAGGGUCCCCUGAGGAAGCAGGUGGGGCAUCGAGUUUGGAGUGCGGUGUCUUUUGAACAAGGGGAGGCAGUGGUUUGAGGGAAGGCUAGUCCAGCCACUAGGGCCAAGAUUGUGUGCGUGAGAAUGGAGGUGACACAGACACAUGAGCAAAGGUCUCCUCAGGAGAGAGUGCACACAGCGGAGACGUCUCUGUCCACUGAGCCCACGUUCGCUGUUUCGCUGUGUGUUUGUUUUCUUCUUCACAGUCCCCCUUUCUCUCUCUAGGCCUGUCGCCAGCUUUGUCGAAUCACUUUGGGAGUAGGUAUGAGCUGUACUGGAAUAUUUCUUUUUCUUUGAAAGGAAUUUACUCUCCUCAGGAAAAAAGAACGCUCACGUGAUGUACAAACGGCAUAUCUACAACGAGGAGUGAGCGUCCAUCCCUGAGUUUCUUAGAGAUUCUUGCCUAAGGUGACUGGUUCACAAAGGGGUCAAGGACCAAGAAAGGAGGGAAAGAAGAAGGAAUUUUAACCCAAGUGUGAGCACUGCUGCUGAUAAGAGUGGACUGAGCUGUUUACGACAAAGGCCGUAUCCAGCUCAGCUGUCCAGUCCAAAUUCCCGUCCUCCUGUUCACCUUCAUUCUCCCGGCUCAGCCUCUCCCUCCAGCUGCCUCAGCCAGGGUCCUGGCUGUGUAUAGCUCACAGAGGAACCUGGAGACGGGUGGUCUCAGAUGAGCACGGCAGCCCAGGAUGCUUUCAAGGACCCUCGGUCUCUCUGCUCCACCAUCGCUUGCACAUGUAUUCCAUCCUCAGGGUCACCUUGUGGUCCAAGAUGGCAGCUGGAGCUCCAGCGUUUAUAUCUGCUUUUCAAUCCUUCUGGAAGGAGCAGAAUAAAGACAAAAGGGUAAAAAAAGGGCACUUCCUAGGACCCUGAGUCAGCUCCCUUUUCACAAUUUAUAUCUCAGUGACCAGAAGUACAAGGCCAUAGCUAGCAACAAAGGAGCUGGGGAAUGUAAUCUUUAUUUUCGGCAACGAUGUGCCCAGCUCCAAACUGAAGAAAGCCUCCCACUCCUGGGUCUUCCAUGUGUCCCCGGAGUCGGUGAGCACACAAGUACCCAAUACAGUUGCUGAUCACUUAACUGAAAAACAGGAAACAAUGCUACUAUCAAGAUUUGGGGGCAUAGGAAAGGACAUAAAUCAAAAUGGAAGAUCUGUUAUUUUACAAACAUUAGCUUGCAAUGUCAUGGAACUCUCAUUAACACUUGGACUUGAUUUUUAGCUAAAUCCACCAAAAUGUCCAAUGUUACAAAUGGUCCAUCAUAAACAGGUGAUGGGGGAAACGAGCGAUUCUCCUUAGAAUAAAGGGCCUCACUGGUCUUAUUCAUUGCUCUCUCCAGCAUCUAUAACACUGAAUGGAUGAAUGAGUUACAGCAACUUUCCCCACAGUUUGUGGUCUUGAUUUCCUCAUAAUCCAGACCCUCUGCUUUUUCCUCUGCCUUUUUAACGCCUGGCAUGAGCUCUGUGCUGUUUCAACUCUGUACCUUAAUGGCUGCCUCCCACUCUGAAAUGUCUUGGACUUGUGAGUCCUGCCUCCUUGAGACGGUUUUCAGCUCUUUCCACAUUUGUCUCAGGUGAACUGAGCUGAAGCUACAGUUACUGAUGCUUCCAAACCCUAUGCCUUUGGGGACCCGGUGGGCACUGACACAUCGUCUGACCUUGGCUCAUCCCUAAAAUCUUAUUUUUUUCUUUCCACUUUGCACUUUCCAGGCUUUGGGUAACUUAUGCUUCUUCAAUGACAGUAUGUUAUAAGCAAACUACCCACUGUCCUCAAGAAAGGUAUUGCCAAGGUCUCUGUGCUUCUUCCAGAAUGAUGUCACCUUUCCCAAGGAUCUGCAAAGAUUCUGUCAGUUUCUCUGGUCAGAACUCUCGCUUGUUAUUUUGAAAUGUAUGUCACUGUAAAUAAUUUAGGAAGAAAGUUAACAGGGAAGAAGGAAAGGCCAAUACCCGGUUAGUUACCACGUGACCAACUGAGGCUCAGUCCUGCUGGGGACCCUCUGAAGAACCCUGUAGAAUGCACCCCUGAAGGAUGGCAGGGUGAGGUGGGAGCAUUUAUCCACCACCUCCAGUCCCUCUUUGGUUGAGAAAUGCCUUCUGGGGCACGCUUCCAGCUGCGUGUGUGCAAGGGCUGAGACACGGAGGCUUUGGAAAAGUCCUGAGGCAAAAAAAUUGAAAGACUUGAUGGUGGGCACUUGAAGGAGGAAGCCUCCAGCCUGCCUGGAACUGUCGACCGCACUUGCAGCGGAAGGUGAGGCGUGAGCAGGUGUGACAAGGGGCACCUUGUCUGCCAGGAGGACUGCAUUAUGGGUUGCCGUACCAACCUUUUCAUUCCUUUAACUUUUCCACUGGGCUGCUUUUGAGUAUAAGCCCUAAGCUGUUUCAGAAGCUGGCCCUGUUGCCCCUGAAGUUGUUCUGAUUCCUUGCUGCUGCUGGGACGAUAGUACUCCAUUCACAAACCACAUCCUAAAGGCCUCUUAUUUUCUUACUCUGGUUGUCCUUGGCUUCUGAGCAGGCCUGGACUCCAUAACAGUGGCCGUCAACAUUUUUAAACUUGCAAGUACUCUAGCUUACACAAGGAAAGUGAUCAAUAUAUAUUUGUUGAUGAUUCUCACAAUAUUGAAACUCUGACAUUAGAAAUACUGUGACGUAGGAGCUUGCUGAGUCAAGCCAACCAAGAUUUCUUGCAGUAAGUAUGUCAAAGAAUGAACAAGAGAGCUGAGGGUACUUAUGUAGGAAUUCAGGAAGCUUCUACAUACAGGUAGAGUUAUUAUGUUUCCAAUAUCUAAAAUCUCAUCUUGUCAGACAGAGGCGGCGUGUUAUUUGUGGGAGUUAGGUUCUAAAAUCGGUGCAAAAAAGGAACUCCAGGAGAAUCUCAAGGCUUUUUUUUUUCAAUCAUGUGGGGAGGGAAAAUGUCAGAGUCAAAAAUAUCCUUGAAAUCUCUCUAUAUUUCAUAAAAAAUAGUGUGCAUAUUUUGUUUUUACAGACAACGUAAAUUCUUAUGCACACUAGGUUUGAAACCCCCUGUAUUGGAAGACUCUAUCUGUAGUUAGGCAUGCCAGCCUUUCUGCCCAUGAGCUUUAACUAUGAAAUCCUAAAGUGACCGGGGGCUGCGCAGUGAUUGCGUACAUGUUCCUGCCUGCCUCCAAGAUUGCUCCAAUCUAUGUCGCUCUUACUCCUCUAUAUGCUAUUAAAUUUGAGAUGUCCCUCUUGUAAUGAGUAUUAGCCCGUUAUUUGUGAUAUAUAUUUGCAAAUACUUCCUUCCAGUUUGUCUUUUGACUUUGCUUAUGGUGCUUUUUACCAUGCAAAAGUGUUGUGGUUUUUUUUAAUGUAGUCUUUUCUUUUAUUGCAACUUAAUUUUGGAUUAUAGUUCAAAAGCCUUUCACCAUACCCAGGUUAGAAAGGAAUUUAUCUGUGUUUUCUCUCAGUACUUGUCUUUGGUUUUGUUCUUUACGUGAAGAUCGCUGAUUCCUUUGGAGUCUAUUCCUGUGUGUAGUGUGAGGUGUAGGUCCAACUUUGUCUCUUGCCAAGUGGCUAUUUCUGGUUUUCUUGUACACAAAACACUGUGUUCUCUGCAGCCACACAUUUAUAAACUGUCCCCUGGGGUGAGUCACUUCUGCCUAUAGUGAAUCAUGUUCGCUUUGUUGUUUGGUUCCAAAGGGUACUGUUUUCUGAAACUGUUUACAGAUUCUGGGGGGUGUACCUUAUCUUGAGCCCUAGUGCCUCACAAAAAGAAUAUGGUAGUUAAAAAGCACUUUUCUGAUUGUCCAGCCCUGCUCAGGGAUUGUAGAAAUUUUAAAUAAGGUGGAUGAUCUGGUUCCCAUGAUUAAGGAGUUCAACUUGUGGAAGUACACGUGGAGUGAUUAGAAAAUAAUUGAAGGCAGCAUAGAACUAGUAAAUUUUACAUUUUGGGUUUCUGCCUAAACACCAGGAAGUAUUUCUCUGCACCAGGGCAAUCAGUCUUUAUGGAGAGGUUGCUUUUGAAUUAUUCACUUCAGCUGCAGGUAAUGGAGACCCUAACUGACAGAGGCAUAAACAUUUUUCCCCUUUUAUAUCAAGAAAUCUGGAAGGAGGUGGUUACUGACUUUGGUUCAGGCACCCUAACCUCCCCUUCUCGUCCUGAAAGCAGAAGAUAAAACUUCCAUGUGAAAGAUGCCCUCCCUAUACCAGGAGGAGAGGAACGUUGGCAUCACCAGAGAUGGGAAGUUGUCGCCAAGGAAAACCUGUACAAACAGACCGUGUGAAGUUAACUUUUAUCUUCCUUUAGCCUCCCCGUACAUUUUAGUUACUUUUUCACAAUUACUACUCUUUGGUCAACCUAGUAUAUAAGCACUUAAGUCUAACUGCUUUGGGGGGCUUCACUUUUCUUGAAGGCUCCCAUGUAGACAUAAAAAUAAAAUGUAUGUGCUUUUCUCCUC